GGUGGUUGUAGUAUAGUAUGGUUUAGGAGGGAUCUGAGGCUUGAAGAUAAUCCAGCACUGGCUGCUGCAGUGAGAGCAGGAUCAGUGAUUGCUGUGUUUAUAUGGGCACCAGAAGAAGAAGGAUACUAUUGCCCUGGAAGAGUGUCAAGAUGGUGGAUUAAGAAAAGUUUGGCUCAUCUUGAUUCAUCUUUGAAGAAACUUGGCACUUCACUCAUUACAAAGAGAUCUAAUGAUAGUGUUUCUUCUCUUCUUCAAGUUGUCAAAUCUACCGGUGCAACUCGAGUUUUUUUCAAUCAUUUAUAUGAUCCAAUAUCACUUGUAAGGGAUAAUUGCGCAAAGGAAACCUUAUCAGCUGAAGGUGUAUCUGUGUGUUCUUUCAAUGCUGAUUUGCUAUAUGAACCAUGGGAAGUUGUCGAUGAUGAAAGCCGUCCAUUCAGCACAUUUUCUGAUUUUUGGGAAAAAUGUCUUACCAUGCCUUAUGAUCCUGAAGCUCCACUUCUUCCGCCUAAAAGGAUAAUAUCUGGUGAUGCAUCAAGAUGCCCUUCAGACAACUUGGUGUUUGAGAGUGAAUUAGAGAAAGGAAGCAAUGCACUUCUUGCUCGAGCGUGGUCUCCUGGUUGGAGCAAUGCUGAUAAGGCACUCACUACUUUCAUUAAUGGACCGUUGAUUGAGUAUUCCAAGAAUCGUAGUAAAGCUGAUAGUGCAACAACCUCAUUUCUGUCACCGUGUUUACAUUUUGGUGAAGUCAGUGUUCGUAAGGUAUUCCAUCGUAUUCGUACUAAACAAACACUCUGGGCUAAUGAAGGAAACAAAGCAGGUGAAGAGAGUGUCAACUUGUUCCUCAAGUCUAUCGGCCUUAGGGAGUUCUCGAGAUACAUGAGCUUUUAUCAUCCUUACAGUCAUGAAAGGCCAUUGCUUGGUCAGUUGAAGUACUUCCCUUGGUUAGUAGACGAGGGUUAUUUUAAGGCGUGGAGGCAAGGUAGAACAGGUUAUUUUAAGGCGUGGAGGCAAGGUAGAACAGGUUAUCCUUUAGUUGAUGCAGGUAUGAGAGAACUUUGGGCCACUGGCUGGUUACAUGAUCGUAUUCGAGUUGUUGUGUCUAGUUUCUCUGUUAAGGUUCUGCAGCUUCCUUGGACAUGGGGAAUGAAGUAUUUCUGGGACACACUGUUAGAUGCAGAUCUCGAGAGUGAUGCUCUUGGUUGGCAAUUUAUUACCGGUACCCUACCUGAUGGUUGUGAGUUCCUCGGAAUUGAUAAUCCACAGUUUGAGGGAUACAAGUUUGAUCCAAAUGGGGAAUAUGUUCGACGAUGGCUUCCUGAACUUGCUAGGCUGCCCACAGAAUGGAUACACCACCCAUGGGAUGCACCAGAAUCUGUACUUCAAGCUGCUGGAAUUGAGCUUGGUUCCAAUUAUCCUUUUCCUAUCGUUGAAAUCGUUGCAGCAAAAGAACGACUAGAAGAAGCGUUGUCACAAAUGUGGCAGCUUGAAGCAGCUGCAAGAUCUGCUAUUGAGAAUGGAAUGGAGGAAGGACAUGGAGACUCCACUGAUGAGUUUGUCCCAAUAGCUUUUCCUCAGGCUAUGCAGAUAGAAAUGGAAGCUAAUAAUGUACCGGUCAGGAACAAUAAUCCUACAAUUACUGCUCUACGACGUUAUGGAGAUCAGAUUGUUCCUAGCAUGUCAUCUUCCUUUUUUAGGAAUGAAGACGAAGAAACCUCUGUUGAUAUUAGAAAUUCAGUUGUAGAUAGUAGAGCAGAAGUUCCAAUAAUAUCGAUGUAAUGCAAGAACUAUGGAAUACGUACACUUGACCAAGCAGGAACUCCGAAGAUCAAAAUAUCACAUUUAUAUACAGAUAUGAUGCCUCUACUUCUCUGUACCAGACAUUAGUUGAGACGAUACGUAGUAGUUAUGAUUUUAGUUCCAGAGGAUGUCGAAGCCUCAUGGAACUUUCUUAACCUGUGUGUGAUAUGCACUUGCUACAGGUGUAUCGUUGUGGCCAGCAUUUGGAGAGUUUGAUUUCUCAGAUGAUCACUCGACUAAUUGUUAUCAUCUCAGGAAGUCACUUUCUUUGUUGAAAGUUUUGGAAUCAAGAAGAAAGGGGACUUUCGAGAUAAUAACUAUUAAUCAAGUGACUAUAUGAGAAAUCAACCGAGCAUUUGGAUUACGAAUAAGCACACUUAGCAUGGGAUCAAUCUAUAUAGCUUGGUUAUAUCAGCUGUAAAUUUGUGUAUAGUAUGUCCAGAUUUUCUUAUUUUUCUGCAUCUCUUACCGGUUUGUACUGGUGUGUUUCCGUUGUAUAGAAUAGGUGUACUCUUUAAAGACAAUGUGUCGAAAGGGAUUGAAGUCUCGUUGAGAUAUAAUAUAAUUAAGUUAUAAAAA
rnacentral:misc_RNA from 1 species